rnacentral:rRNA from 1 species
UACGGAGGGUGCGAGCGUUGUUCGGAAUCACUGGGCGUAAAGCGCGUGUAGGCGGCCAUUUAAGUCUGGUGUGAAAGCCCUGGGCUCACCCCAGGAAGGGCACUGGAUACUGGAUGGCUGGAGUACCGGAGAGGAGGGUGGAAUUCCUGGUGUAGCGGUGAAAUGCGUAGAUAUCAGGAGGAACACCGGUGGCGAAGGCGUCCCUCUGGCCGGAUACUGACGCUGAGACGCGAAAGCGUGGGGAGCAAACAGG